AACUAACAAGGAUUCCCCUAGUAACGGCGAGUGAAGAGGGAAGAGCCCAAGAUUGAAAGCUGGCGUCUUCGGCGUCCGCAUUGUAAUCUCAAGAAGUGUUUUCCGCUUCGGACCAAGCCUAAGUCCCCUGGAAAGGGGCAUCAUAGAGGGUGAUAAUCCCGUACAUGGCUUGGAGCGCCCGAGGCUUUGUGAUACGCUUUCUAAGAGUCGAGUUGUUUGGGAAUGCAGCUCAAAAUGGGUGGUAAAUGCCAUCUAAGGCUAAAUAUUGGGGAGAGACCGAUAGCGAACAAGUACAGUGAUGGAAAGAUGAAAAGAACUUUGAAAAGAGAGUUAAACAGUACGUGAAAUUGCCAAAAGGGAAGGGUAGGAGGUCAGAGAUGCGGCCUGGGAUUCAGCCUUGCUUUUGCUUGGUGUUUUUCCCAGAUUGCAGGCCAACGUCGGUUUUGGGCACUGGAGAAGGGUAGGAGGAACGUGGCACCCCUCGGGGUGUGUUAUAGCCUCCUACUGGAUACAGCGACCGAGACCGAGGACAGCAGCGUACUCGCAAGAGCGGG
rnacentral:rRNA from 1 species